GGAUCCUUCCAGCUGAACAAAGUCAGCCGCAAAACAGACUAGCCAGCAGGCUGCAAUUGGAGCCAGAGUGCCAAAGACAUGGGUUUGUUAGAGUGCUGUGCUAGAUGUCUGGUAGGGGCCCCCUUUGCUUCCCUGGUGGCCACUGGAUUGUGUUUCUUUGGAGUGGCACUGUUCUGUGGAUGUGGACAUGAAGCUCUCACUGGUACAGAAAAGUUAAUUGAGACCUAUUUCUCCAAAAACUACCAGGACUAUGAGUAUCUCAUUAAUGUGUAAGUACCUCACACCACCUCCAGACUCAUCUCUUUUUCCCUCACCCUCACCCUCACCCUCACCCUGUCUUGGAGGUAGAGCUUAUCAACUUGAAGCUACAUAGCUU
rnacentral:lncRNA from 1 species